CAGUUUGGAACAAGAGUCCACUAUUAAAGAAACGUGGGACUCCAACGUCAAAGGGCGAAAAAACCGUCUNUCAGGGCGAUGGCCCNCUACGUGAACCAUCACCCUAAUCAAGUUUUUUUGGGGUCGAGGUGCCGUAAAGCACUAAAUCGGGAACCCUAAAGGGAGCCCCCGAUUUAGAGCUUGACGGGGAAAGCCGGCGAACGUGGCGAGAAAGGAAGGGAAGAAAGCGAAAGGAGCGGGCGCUAGGGCGCUGGCAAGUGUAGCGGUCACGCUGCGCGUAACCACCACACCCGCCGCGCUUAAU
rnacentral:rRNA from 1 species